GUCUACGGCCAUACCACCCUGAACGCGCCCGAUCUCGUCUGAUCUCGGAAGCUAAGCAGGGUCGGGCCUGGUUAGUACUUGGAUGGGGAAAAAAGUGUGAAACAACGGCUACCGGAGGGU
ensembl:rRNA 5S_rRNA 5S ribosomal RNA